UUCAGCAAUACAUAAAUCUCUCUCUUUCUCUCUCUCUCUCUGUCUGUCUUUUUUUUAGUGAGCUCUUAUCACCAUAUAUUACUUAAAGAAAUUUCCAUCUUCCCUUCCUUUAAUUUCCCUCCUCUUCCUUUCCUUUUAGAUAAAAAGAACUUUGGGAGUUCCAAGGCUGGGGCCAAGAAAGCAGGUCUGGGCCCUGAGAAGGCAUCCAGAGCUGGUGGAACCUUUGGAGUCGGGAUAAAGAAGAAGGUCAGCAUUGAGGAGCCUCCACCAAUAAAGAUAAGCCUGAUAUGACAUGCAGAAGACCCUGGAACCAUGUAGAAGCCUCCAAAAUGAAACUGUCCAGAUAUCUCAGAAGCAGAGAAGUCUGAUUGGGCCC
rnacentral:lncRNA from 13 species